rnacentral:rRNA from 1 species
CCUACGGGAGGCAGCAGUGAGGAAUAGUGGUCAAUGGGCGCGAGCCUGAACCAGCCAAGUAGCGUGAAGGAUGAAUGCCCUACGGGUUGUAAACUUCUUUUAUAAAGGAAUAAAGUGAGGCACGUGUGCCUUUUUGUAUGUACGUUAUGAAGAAGGAUCGGCUAACUCCGUGCCAGCAGCCGCGGUAAUACGGAGGAUCCGAGCGUUAUCCGGAUUGAUUGGGGUUAAAGGGAGCGGAGAUGGGUUGUUAAGUCAGUUGUGAAGGUUUGCGGCUCAACCGUAAAAUGGCAAUUGAUACUGGCAGUCUUGAGUACAGUUGCGGUAGUCGGACUUC